AAGCUUUUAUAGUCAACCUUAUUUAUUAAACUAACACUAAAGGGAAAGUGUAACUAAGUAACUCACUCCUCAUCUACUCUCAGUCAAUCAAUUACAAUUAAAAGCCCAUAACGUGUCGUUUGAUUGACGAUCUAAUUGAAUGCGGCAAAAUCAGCAGUCGUGAUAUGUGGCCUGAACAGCUGUAUAGUUCCAACACAAUAAAUAACCAUAAUAACUACUUGGCUUAUAACGAGCAUAACACGCCCUCACAUGGCUGCAUUAAAAUGCCAUCUCUUGAGAUUAAUGCGAAAAGGUCAUGCGAACAUUUAACGAGGGCCACUCACUGUGGAUUGGACAUUGACCUUCGCUUUUUAUAUACCCUGCGCGUGCAAAACGGCCUCGAUUGGGUAUAAGUAUAGCUAAGAGUUAACAGAAAGUACAACAGUAUCCUGAACUGUAUAUUUAUAGAGUAGGUGUAAGUUUUUGGCACAGGCAAUAUUCGUAUUUGAGACAUUCGAGAAAAAUAAAUAAAUAUUACUUUUUUGGUACAAGUAUGACAAUUGGCAUAGACAGCUGUUGAUAGAGCCGUGGGCUUCCUGAUCUUUUUAAACACCCUUUAAUUUACAACCUUUAUACUUUAAUCAACAUGUCCGCAAAGGUAUUUAAUCUUCGACACUCUAAAUAAAAACGUUUCCUUCUCGCUUAUGUGUCUGAAAUGUUUUUGGUCUUCAGACACGUGACAUUAUCACGAAGGUAAACAAAAAUGCCGUGUGUCAACAGAGGGGUAAAAGCGGGAAUGUAACGUGAAAUUAUGUUGACUUAUAACAAAACAAGAGGUAAAUAUAACUGGCACCUGGCACCUGGCAGAUGGCACCUGGCUGGCUGCUCGCCUUUUGUUUGGGGCUGCCAGCGCGGCUGCCACUUGAGAACGAAACCCAAGGCCCCGUGCGUGUCUUAUAUAAGGCCCUAGUAACUGGCGGCAUACAUAUGGACAACACAUGCCGCCUGCUUGUGCCUAAGUUGCCCGGCAUUUGGUUUGCUUUUAGCCAGCUGCUGCUCAGACUCUUCCGUAAUUUAUACGGCUGUCGGAGUGCCAGUCUCUGUUCAUGUUUGUAUCUCCAGCCGCUGGAGCUCAGAAAUUUGUUAUUACGUUAAAUUAAACUUGAAAAAUGCGUUAA